rnacentral:rRNA from 1 species
AUGCCCAACAGCUAGCCCACCUAAACAAUUUCAACAAACCCUUGUUAAUAACCCCUGAAUACCCUAGUAUUUAAAUUAAACAAACCAUUUUUCCCCCUUAGUAUAGGCGAUAGAAAAGGGACUACGGCGCAAUAGAGAAAGUACCGCAAGGGAACGCUGAAAGAGAAAUGAAAUAACCCAGUAAAGCCCAAAAAAGCAGAGAUUUAACCUCGUACCUUUUGCAUCAUGAUUUAGCGAGUGUACCCCAAGCAAAGAGCACUUUAGUUUGACGUCCCGAAACUACGUGAGCUACUCCAAGACAGCCUAUUAAUAGGGCGCACCCGUCUCUGUUGCAAAAGAGUGGGGAGAGCUUUGAGUAGAGGUGACAAACCUACCGAACC